CUGUGAGCUCGAUGAGUAGGGCGGGACACGUGGUAUCCUGUCUGAAUAUGGGGGGACCAUCCUCCAAGGCUAAAUACUCCUGACUGACCGAUAGUGAACCAGUACCGUGAGGGAAAGGCGAAAAGAACCCCGGCGAGGGGAGUGAAAAAGAACCUGAAACCGUGUACGUACAAGCAGUGGGAGCACGCUUAGGCGUGUGACUGCGUACCUUUUGUAUAAUGGGUCAGCGACUUAUAUUCUGUAGCAAGGUUAACCGAAUAGGGGAGCCGAAGGGAAACCGAGUCUUAACUGGGCGUUAAGUUGCAGGGUAUAGACCCGAAACCCGGUGAUCUAGCCAUGGGCAGGUUGAAGGUUGGGUAACACUAACUGGAGGACCGAACCGACUAAUGUUGAAAAAUUAGCGGAUGACUUGUGGCUGGGGGUGAAAGGCCAAUCAAACCGGGAGAUAGCUGGUUCUCCCCGAAAGCUAUUUAGGUAGCGCCUCGUGAAUUCAUCUCCGGGGGUAGAGCACUGUUUCGGCAAGGGGGUCAUCCCGACUUACCAACCCGAUGCAAACUGCGAAUACCGGAGAAUGUUAUCACGGGAGACACACGGCGGGUGCUAACGUCCGUCGUGAAGAGGGAAACAACCCAGACCGCCAGCUAAGGUCCCAAAGUCAUGGUUAAGUGGGAAACGAUGUGGGAAGGCCCAGACAGCCAGGAUGUUGGCUUAGAAGCAGCCAUCAUUUAAAGAAAGCGUAAUAGCUCACUGGUCGAGUCGGCCUGCGCGGAAGAUGUAACGGGGCUAAACCAUGCACCGAAGCUGCGGCAGCGACGCUGAUGCGUUGUUGGGUAGGGGAGCGUUCUGUAAGCCUGCGAAGGUGUGCUGUGAGGCAUGCUGGAGGUAUCAGAAGUGCGAAUGCUGACAUAAGUAACGAUAAAGCGGGUGAAAAGCCCGCUCGCCGGAAGACCAAGGGUUCCUGUCCAACGUUAAUCGGGGCAGGGUGAGUCGACCCCUAAGGCGAGGCCGAAAGGCGUAGUCGAUGGGAAACAGGUUAAUAUUCCUGUACUUGGUGUUACUGCGAAGGGGGGACGGAGAAGGCUAUGUUGGCCGGGCGACGGUUGUCCCGGUUUAAGCGUGUAGGCUGGUUUUCCAGGCAAAUCCGGAAAAUCAAGGCUGAGGCGUGAUGACGAGGCACUACGGUGCUGAAGCAACAAAUGCCCUGCUUCCAGGAAAAGCCUCUAAGCAUCAGGUAACAUCAAAUCGUACCCCAAACCGACACAGGUGGUCAGGUAGAGAAUACCAAGGCGCUUGAGAGAACUCGGGUGAAGGAACUAGGCAAAAUGGUGCCGUAACUUCGGGAGAAGGCACGCUGAUAUGUAGGUGAAGUCCCUCGCGGAUGGAGCUGAAAUCAGUCGAAGAUACCAGCUGGCUGCAACUGUUUAUUAAAAACACAGCACUGUGCAAACACGAAAGUGGACGUAUACGGUGUGACGCCUGCCCGGUGCCGGAAGGUUAAUUGAUGGGGUUAGCGCAAGCGAAGCUCUUGAUCGAAGCCCCGGUAAACGGCGGCCGUAACUAUAACGGUCCUAAGGUAGCGAAAUUCCUUGUCGGGUAAGUUCCGACCUGCACGAAUGGCGUAAUGAUGGCCAGGCUGUCUCCACCCGAGACUCAGUGAAAUUGAACUCGCUGUGAAGAUGCAGUGUACCCGCGGCAAGACGGAAAGACCCCGUGAACCUUUACUAUAGCUUGACACUGAACAUUGAGCCUUGAUGUGUAGGAUAGGUGGGAGGCUUUGAAGUGU
rnacentral:rRNA from 1 species